rnacentral:rRNA from 1 species
AUGGCUCUCCUCUCGAGCGCCCGCUCCCCUCCACCCAUCCCGCCGCCCACCGCCGCGGGCCUGGCCGCCGCUCGCCCGGCGUUCGUGGAUGCGGUGUCCGGCCGCGUCCUGCCUUGCGUGGCGCUCAGGGACUCCGCUGUUGACCCGGCCCCGGAGUAUGUGGACCGAAUCUCCGGCCGCAUCUUCCCCUGCGUGGCGUUAAAUGCGGCGGUGCGCGGUGCGCCCCCCUUGGUAAGCUCAGUCUUGGCUCCAUCCUCCCGUUCCGGUCCUCUGCCUCCUCCGCAUCCGGAGACUGCAGGCUCCUCCCCCGCCCCGUCCUGGGCUGUGCUGGCUGCGCCCCGCCAUCCCCCCAUCAGAUCCAUUAUUAUGGCUCCGAAUGCGGGGAUUCUCUCUGCGUCGGCGAUCUCCUCUGCGCCGGCCGCUGGCUCCGGACAGGCGCGCGUGCCUGCUUCCCGCCAGGAGUGCCCCUCUCCCGCUGUGGCUGCUGUGAGCGCCAUUAAUCCCGAGGGGGAGGAUGGGUGGGAGACGGCGUGCUCUCGGCGUGCUCGGCGCCUGGCGAAGCGCCAGGGAGAUCCUCCGCGGCAGAGUCCAAAGGAUUCGCUCCGUCUCAGGGAGUGUGCUCGGGCUGCCGCUGUGCAAGCAUUCAAGAUGCGUUUUGGCAAUUGCUGCUUCCGCUGUCUCGCCUCUCGCCAAAAAGCUUUUGAAUGCCGCGACCCCGCAAUUUGCUACACUUGCAGAAAGACUGGGCAUCUUGAGCGCUCGUGUCCAGUUCGUCUUGCAAAAGCCAAAGCCAAAGCUCCAGCACCUGCUCGUCCCGCCUCCGCCGCACCGCAACGUAGUUCAUCUCCUCCAACACUGCCCCUCAUUUCCAACUCCUCUGCAACCGGUCAGUCUGUGUCACCGCCCCUUCUGCCGGAGCCCGCUACGCAGCUUACGUCGCUCGCUGCUGCUCGGAGGCCUGUGCGGUGGGCCAUGGAGUUCAUCCCCGGUGCCUCGGAGCGGAGGCCGACCACGUCGAGCUGUACGGUGAUGAGCACCCCGUCGAUGGAGGAGGAGGCGUAUCAGCUAAGGACCAUGUCGCUGCUCCUCACUGCCGCGGGUGACUGCUCGGCCAUCACGCCGGACAUGAUUGCUCGUGUGGUGGCGCAUGAGCAUCGGUUCGACCUCCGGGACAUCUCCAUCGCGCCGUGCUUCCCUGAAGACUACAUCAUCACCCUGGCCGACCAUGUCCAGCGCGACCUGGUCUAUGAAGGGCGUGUGAUCGAGGUGGCGGGGGUCCGUUUUGAGCUCCGGCCAUGGUUCCCGCCGGCGGGCGGCAACAAGGUAUGGAGGUUCUACUGUAGAGUAGUGAUUGAUCGUUUGUCGUUGAAUGCUUGGGAUUGGGACACCGUCCAGGAAGUGGUUGGGAAGAACUGCUGGCUUGAUUUGAUUGAGCGGCAGUCCAAGACCAAGAGGAACAGAUCUGCUCUCUUUGCUUGGGUAUGGACAUGGAACCCGGACAUGAUACCAAGGGCGUCUGAUUUCAACGUGCUGCAGCGGCAAGAUGUGAUCAGGUCCAGAGACUCGAGGCCGGAAGGAGUGCCGGUGGAGGAGGGCUUGGAGGGGCCGGACUUCCCGGUGCUCAUCCACCUUGAUGUGGUUAAGGAUUACACUCCCCUGUCUCCUUCGGCGAGCCCAGAUAAUGGAGUGUAGACAGCGCAUCAUCAGCUGGUGGGCCAAGAAAGAGUGUUUGUCUCCCCUUCCUUGGAGGUGUCCCAGGUCCAAGACAGCACCACCUUUGCCCCGGUGAGACAGGCCGACCAGCAAAGCACGGAUGAGGAGCUCAAUGAUGCGCGCAGUGUCGCCACUUUGCUAGACCAGCAGCUGAUGCAAGACAGCCAAGGACCAUCCAUGUUGCCUCCUCAGGAUCUGACUGCGCGAGCGCUUGGGAACUCCCAGCUUGUAACCGAUGGUUGGAUUGGAGACCUCACGGGAUGGGGAUCUGGCUCUGGUGGGCUUAUGCCUCUGUUCUCACCGCCCAGACAGCAGCAGCUGUAGUACCCGAGCUUUGAACUACCUCCGCUGCCACCAUCUCUGAGCCGCUGGGAACUGACGGACGCGACCUCGCCACGACUGUGUACACCGCAGAUGACGACUAUCUGGGAGUCGGCUGCCUUCUCGUUUGGCCCCUGCUGGUUACCAAACUGGGUUGAGGCCCAGGCGGACCUGCCGGUUAGAGAGCCCAGCUGGGCUGUUGGACCGGAGGUGAUUUUUAGGCCUGGGGUGGCUGAAAUGCGUGCGCGGAGGGCGCUUAAGGAGGCCAAUCUCUCUGGCCCUGGUCUCAUCUCUACGAUUACAGAAGAGAAUGCAAGACUGAAUAUUGAUGAGCAGCGGCGGUUCAUUAACAAAAUAGCUGCUCUGCUGUCCUCCUCCAUCCUUGGCGCUCCUCCAGCCUUGUCUUCUCCACCACCUCGCAAGCUGAAGCAGCGGCUGCUUCGAGUUGUUUCAGCUUCUCGCCAGAGCUCGCGCCUGCAACACCUUGGCUCCAACUUAUCUUCUUCAAGGCGUGCUCAGGCUGAGAUCAGCACCCGGCUUGGGUUCAUCAAGCGUCCCGAGGACUUCAACGACGACACCGUGCUUGAGUACAUUCAGUUCUUCCGUGCCCUGAUGCCACCGGCUAACAUAGCCAAGCUGGCCGAGAUCGCGGGCUUGUCCUCGCCUUCUCAGCUUUCACUGCCUGAUGCUGAGCUGCAAGCCAUCUUUGAUGAGCUUGCUGGGCAUUGGGAGCUUUUGUUCCCGGCCGCCAAGCUGCUACCUCAAGCUUCCUCCAUUUCCGAUCAUUGCCCGCUUCUCCUUCGCAAUGACGCGGUGCUAAAAACCAAUAGGAGGUUUAGGUUUGAGUCCUACUGGCUAUUUGUAAAUGGGUUCAAGGAUCUAGUGGCUCAGUCCUGGGCUGAGUCGGCUGGGGGGAGAUGCCCUAUCGCUGCGCUCAAUGUUAAACUAUGGCGACUUAGCAAAGCUCUUCGGGCUUGGAGCAAGUCAAUUGUUGGGGAUAUCCAGAAGCAGAUGCAUAUUGUUAAUGAGAUUAACUUGCAGCUUGACAUGGCUCAGGAUCACAGGCAGCUAUCUGCUGAGGAGAGCAGUCUUCGAGCCGAGCUCAAGUCUCGCUCCCUCGGGCUUGCAGUGCUGCUCAAAGUGGACCUUGAGCCGCUGGUCCUCAAGUUUGGGAACAGAAUGGCUGUUUGGAGGGGCGGCAUGAUGGCUAAGAGUGGGCGGCUCACACUCCUCAAAGCAAAUCUAGCCUCUCUUGCCGUUUACCUAAUGACGGUGCACAGCCUACCCAAGUGGGUCAUCAAGCGGCUAAUCCAACUCUGUCACGCGUGGUUAUGGAAUGGGGAGAAUGUUUGCAACAAUGGUCAUUGUCGAGUUGCAUGGAAUUUGCUGUGCCGCCCCAAAGUUUUGGGAGGCUUAGGUGUGAUGGAUUUCGCUAAGUUCGGCGUGGCGCUCCGUCUCCGCUGGAUGUGGUUAGCUUGGCAAGACCCAACCAGGCCAUGGGUGUGUGGGCCCCUGCCAUGCAAUUCGAAGGAGGAAGAGCUUUUUGCAAUGGCAACGGAAAUCUCACUUGGUGAUGGUGCACGGGCCAGAUUUUGGCAGGAUAGAUGGUUGAAAGGGCAGUGCCCCAAAGUUAUUGCACCAUCCCUUUUUGCUGCCUCCACAAGGAAGAAUAGGACGGGUUGUGAGGCUUUGGCAAAUGAGCGGUGGCUCCUGGACCUUGCAACGGGUCUCACGGCAGACAUGCUUCAUGAGCUUGCAGCGUUGGCAGGCUUGCUGGAUGACGUGGAGCUUCGGCAGGAUCAACCGGACACCAUCCGAUGGAGGUUCGCGUCUGACGGCAAAUAUACUGCCCAUUCAGCCUACUUGAUUCAGUUUGAGGGAUCGAUCCCCCUUAAUGGCCAUCAGCUAAUUUGGUCUGCAUGGGCGCCGGGGAAAUGCAGAUUCUUCAUAUGGGCUGUCUUUCUUGGUAAAAUUCUCACGGCUCACGCUCUCCUGCGUUGGGGUUGGGAGAACUGCUACUUUUGCCCUUUGUGUGUGCGCAACCUGGAAACCCCCCUCCACCUCCUCGUGGAUUGUCCGUGGUCUAGAUCCAUCUGGGAUGGCAUUGCGUCGAUGGCCAAUUUGCCGUCACUGAACACGGCCACAUGGAGCGCCACCUCCGCCUUCAAGGACUGGAUGUUGGAGCGCAACGCACUGACGCCGCCGGCGAGAAGAAAGGGCUUGAUCUCUCUCGUUCAUUUGACGGCGUGGGAGAUUUGGCGUGAGAGAAACCGACGGCUAUUCCAGCAGGAGGCAAUGACUAAAGCUGCAUUCAAGCGCAAGGUCAUGGAUGAAAUCAAGAUGUGGAACAUGGCUGGUGCUGGCAUACCUUUUGAUCCAGGCUGA